UACAAUCUUUUUUGACUUUUUCUAAAUUCCCAUAGAACGACGUCGUUCGUGAACCUUAAAAUAUUGGGCAAAAUGCAUUCCCUUGAAGAAGGAGUACAAGUAGCUUCAGCACGCCCUUUCCUCACUCUGUUUCAGCAGUUGUCAGAAGUCUAUAUCUUCGCCAUUGACUGAGCAAUCUCUUCCAGAAUUGUAAGAAUCUCAAACGUUUUUUCAAUUCUUGUAAUUAUGUGAUCUUGAUCCGUAAUAUCUCGUUGUUUAUGAUGGCAAUUCUAAUUCAAUGUUUUCAAUUCUGCUAAGCAAUUAUGGUGUUGUUCAUCCCUUUCGUAGAUCUAUAUUCUUCACAGAGUAAUUUGUAGUUUUGUCUUGCUUUCUAAUGUUACGCCAAAAGGUUGGUUUGGUUGAAAGAAUCAAACUUUAGUCGGUAGGUGAAAUGGGCUGUGGCCUGCGAGCUAAACAUGAAUGCAAAAUUUAAGCAAUAGUUGAUGGUGUGCGUCUAAUUGUGGAAAAUGAAGGGUAAUUCAAGGGAAAGAUAAUAUUUGCUUAAUAUAAAUUGAACCAAGAAUUUUGGUAUAAUGGGUGUUCAAUGAUUUACAAAAUGUUGUCAAUGGGUUUGAAUUUCUCUAUUUUAUGGUAGGGAGAAUGGCAGUGUGAUUUCUUCAUCUUAAAGGCUCAGUUGGGAUUGAGGUUUUUUUCUUUCAGAACCCAAAAGCGUUUUUGUUUAAUCUGCAAAAGAGGGUGGUGUGGCUAGAACUAGAAGUUGCAAGUUAUAACUACAACCCAAUUUCUUCUGUUUGCUGGCUUUCUAACUUGCUUCAAUUAGGGAAUAGCGUAGAUGGAUCAAUUACGCGGUUCAUAUUUGUUGAUUUUCUUAAGUUCUAGGAUGUUGCUUAUCUUCUGGUUGAUGGCUGUCUAAUAUCCCUUUCUUUUGAUGCUUAGUUAUAUUUCAUGGGGAAAAAAGUUCUUGUUGCUUAUUGCAAAUAUGGUUUUGAGUUUGAACUCCGUUUUGAUGUGAUAUUUUUGUUAGGUCAGUUAGUUUCAAUAUUUCCAACUUGUGUACAUGUAGGGUACCUACUUAACAAGUUUUAGAAAUGAUAUUGAGGUACACUGAGUGCUUCUGCUUAUUUUCCAAUUGUUGCAUUUGAUGUUACAGAUGAUGGAUGAUCAGGACCUGGGCUUCUUUGCCAAUUUUCUUGGCAUCUUCAUAUUUGUAUUGGUAAUAGCGUAUCAUUAUGUGAUGGCCGACCCAAAAUACGAAGGCAACUAAGGAUCUGUUUCCUUUUUUAUGUAUUUGCAAUAGAGAGAUGCAUUUUUCUUGCGACUAAUGGAGAUAUCCUGUUAAUUUUGUAGCCUGAACUGUUUCACAAUGGAUUCAACUUGAAUUAGUUAAAAGCUUUGUUAUGCAAUGUGAAUGUUUAUUGUUAUACACAGGUGAUUUUCUUUCACGAAUUUA
rnacentral:lncRNA from 1 species